AUUGAACGCUGGCGGCAGGCCUAACACAUGCAAGUCGAACGAGUGGCGGACGGGUGAGUAAUUUCUGGGAAACUGCCUGAGGGAGGGGGACAACUACUGGAAACGGUAGCUAAUACCGCAUACCAUCGGAUGUGCCCAGAUUGGAUUAGCUAGUAGGUGGGGUAAAGGCUCACCUAGGCGACGAUCCCUAGCUGGUCCGAGAGGAUGACCGGCCACACUGGAACGGAGACACGGUCCAGACUCCUACGGGAGGCAGCAGUAGGGAAUAUUGCACAAUGGGCGAAAGCCUGAUGCAGCCAUGCCGCGUGAGUGAAGAAGGCCUUCGGGUUGUAAAGCACUUUCAGCGAGGAGGCGUUAAUCACAGAGGAAGCACCGGCUAACUCCGUGCCAGCCGCCGCGGUAAUAC
rnacentral:rRNA from 1 species